rnacentral:tRNA from 1 species
ACCUCCGUAGCACUGUGGUCAGCGCAGUCUGCCGAGAACAGAAAGACGCGGGUUAAAUUCCCGUCCGAUGUC